rnacentral:rRNA from 1 species
GACGUAGGGGGCCAGCGUUGCUCGGAAUUACUGGGCGUAAAGGGUUCGUAGGCGGUGCGGCAAGUCUCGAGUGAAAUCUCUGGGCUCAACCCAGAGGCUGCUCGGGAAACUGCUGUGCUCGAGUCCGGGAGAGGCGCGUGGAAUUGCAGGUGUAGCGGUGAAAUGCGUAGAUAUCUGCAGGAACACCAGAGGCGAAAGCGGCGCGCUGGACCGGUACUGACGCUGAGGAACGAAAGCUAGGGGAGCAAACAGG